GGAGUGUCCUCAACAUCUAGAAAGUCAAAGCUAUACAUUGGAAAAGCAUUUUGCUAUGAUACUGUAAUUGGCACAAUCAUGUAUUUUAUAUGGCUCAUUAUAUGUGCUUUGUGAAAGGUUAAGUAACUGAGGUGUGUGCUGGUUCAUGUUAACCAAUGACUGUAAAGUAGGUGUUCUUAUUUCCCAAGAAAGGCGGGACCAAAGUAAUAACUGAUAUAUUCUCCACUUUUUUGGCAGACAAGCUGCAAAUAAUUUACCCUCGCAUACAGAAGCUGAUACUUGCGCAGUAGAACACACGUUUGCCUGCUGAGAUGUCAACAGGUGCUUGUUGCUCCACGCAGGAUGAACUGGCUCGCAUCAGCGGCGUACGGAAUGCAUGCCAGUUUCACGCGGCGCCAAGCCUCCGUGCAAACAGUGGGACGCGACGGAAAAGACAGUUUACGCCUGAUGAGCAGAAAGACAGUAAUUACUGGCUCAAGCGGACUCGUAAUAACGAAGCUGCAAAGAGGUCUCGCCAGCGCAAGAGGAUGGAGGAGCAUCUUUUGGAGACGCGCGCCGUCGAGCUUCAACGAGAAAACGACAAAUUAAAGGCUGUGCUCUCUACAGUUCAUCAUCACAGCACUGCUCAAAAUAACCCGAUGCAUGCUGCUUUUGGGUUCCCCCUCGGACUGCCAAAUGACGGUCAUCCGCGCAGUUUACCCGUUCCUACGAAUGUGUUACCAUUGCGCGGUCUGCCUCAUUGCCCAUUUUCCGGUGGCUGCGGAUCAAUAUGUCCUCAAACAAAUCAUUUUAGCUCGGUUUUCGAUUUGGUAUCAUACCCUGUGCUGAAAAACGCUGCCGCUACUAAUACUACGAACCCCCCGCGCAUCAGUUUAUUGGAUAGUUAUCAUCCAAUGGGCAAGUACGGUCAUGGGAACACAUGCGCCAGCGGAGCUUAUCAGAGGAAUAGAAGUUUUGCGAAUGGAAAUAACUCUGCUCAAACGAUGCACGGGCUGCCGGACUGUAGAAACGCUUUGGUCAACCUGUCGCGUGUUCCCCGCUGUUAUAAUUACAAAGCGUCGUCCUCUGAAAUGGCACAGGAUUGCGCGCGGCAGCCUGGCCAGAUCGGAGCCGCGUAUGAAGGCGAAAUGCAAGCUAACACGGCAGAACUAACAUGCCAACAACAAGCGACCACGCAGUCGGUUCUGCUUCCACACAAACUGCGCUACAAAGGUGGAAACGCAAGGUUUGCAUCCGCGAGCUUUUCAUCGUAA
rnacentral:lncRNA from 1 species